GAUACGUAUUUUAGCAACGGACGACACAGACCAGUUAACAAGUUCAAUACCCGAUUGUCCUUUUUAGCUGUUAGACUACCGCAUUACGAUUCCAUUGAACUGAACUAUUGGAGAAAGUUUUGUAAUAAUGUGACACGAAUCUGGACAUGAAGUUAUAAAACUGUUCUAUUUGUUGAUACGUAUAGAGUAUAAACUUACUUUUU